rnacentral:rRNA from 1 species
UACGUAGGGUGCGAGCGUUAAUCGGAAUUACUGGGCGUAAAGCGUGCGUAGGCGGUUCGUUAAGUCAGCUGUGAAAGCCCCGGCCUCAACCUGGGAAUUGCGGUUGAAACUGGCGAACUAGAAUCUGGCAGAGGGGGGUGGAAUUCCACGUGUAGCAGUGAAAUGCGUAGAGAUGUGGAGGAACACCGAUGGCGAAGGCAGCCCCCUGGGCUGAGAUUGACGCUCAGGCACGAAAGCGUGGGGAGCAAACAGG